rnacentral:lncRNA from 10 species
UAAGGAAUGAAUUCAUGCCUUAUAAAGGGGUAGAGGGAACUAACUUAGGCCCUUUUGCCCUUCCACCUUCCACAUAUGAGGAUACAGCAUUCAUGCCCUCCAGAGGACACAAGGCACCACCUUAGAAGCAAGGAACAGAGCCCCUUACCAGACACAAAAUGUGCCUGUGCCUUGACCCUGGACUCCUCAGCCUCCAGAACGUAAUACAUGUUCAUUAUAGAAAAACUGAAAAAAAAAAUUCCAAAUGAAGAAAAACAGUUGAUCCUAGACUCAUUGCCCAGAGGAAGACUAUGAACAUUCCACAUGAAGAAAAACAGUGGAUCCUAGACUCAUUGCCCAGAGGAGGACUAUGAACAUUCCACAUGAAGAAAAACAGUGGCUCCUAGACUCAUUGCCCAGAGGAAGACUAUGAACAUUCCACAUGAAGAAAAACAGUUGAUCCUAGACUCAUUGCCCAGAGGAGGACUAUGAACAUUCCAAAUGAAGAAAAACAGUGGCUCCUAGACUCAUUGCCCAGAGGAAGACUAUGAACAUUCCACAUGAAGAAAAACAGUGGCUCCUAGACUCAUUGCCCAGAGGAGGACUAUGAACAUUCCAAAUGAAGAAAAACAGUGGAUCCUAGACUCAUCGCCCAGAGAAAGACUAUGAACAUUUUAGCACGUCUCCCUCCCAGGUUUCCUAGAAUAGAUGUCUGUACAUAGUUAAUAAAAACAUAUAUUCAAGUUUUGCAGCUUUUUGUUCCACUUUACAUUUUAAGUUGAACGUUUACACUUCCCAUUCCAAGAUCUUCAGAAACAUGUUUAGAAACAGAAGAGUAUCCCAACAACAGUCUGUUUAA